rnacentral:rRNA from 1 species
AACGAACGCUGGCGGCGCGCCUAAUACAUGCAAGUCGAGCGAGAAGACGUAGCAAUACGUUUGUAAAGCGGCGAACGGGUGAGGAAUACAUGGGUAACCUACCCUCGAGUGGGGAAUAACUAGCCGAAGGUUAGCUAAUACCGCGUACGCUCCUUGGACUUCGGUUCAGGGAGGAAAGCGAUACCGUGGGUAUCGCGCUCUUGGAUGGGCUCAUGUCCUAUCAGCUUGUUGGUGAGGAACGGCUCACCAAGGCUUCGACGGGUAGCUGGUCUGAGAGGACGGAUCAGCCACACUGGCACUGCGACACGGGCCAGACUCCUACGGGAGGCAGCAGUGGGGAAUCUUGGACAAUGGGCGCAAGCCUGAUCCAGCCAUGCCGCGUGAGUGAAGAAGGCCUUAGGGUUGUAAAGCUCUUUUACCAGGGACGAUAAUG